UACGUAGGGUGCAAGCGUUUAAUCGGAAUUACUGGGCGUAAAGGGUGCGUAGGCGGUUUUGUAAGCCAGAUGUGAAAUCCCCGGGCUUAACCUGGGAAUGGCAUUUGGGACUGCAAGGCUUGAGUGCGGCAGAGGAGACUGGAAUUCCUGGUGUAGCAGUGAAAUGCGUAGAUAUCAGGAGGAACACCGAUGGCGAAGGCAGGUCUCUGGGCUGACACUGACGCUCAUGCACGAAAGCGUGGGGAGCAAACAGG
rnacentral:rRNA from 1 species